AAAGUAUGGAGAGCUAUACUACUAUCUUUAUCAAUAUGUAAAAUGAUCAGAACUAUUUAUGUGAGAAAAAUAAGCAAAGUUCUCCAGUGGAUUAGAAGAAGCAAGCAAAGUUGUCUGCUUAAAAAGUAUGGACGGCUCAUCGUGUCUCUAUCAAUAUGUAAAAUGUUAUUUUGAUAUGGGAACUAUUUACGUGAGAAAAAUAAAUAGAGUUCUUAGUGAGUUUCAUGGUUUCUUUUGAGGUUUUAAUUUCGGUCACUAUGCAGUCCUGAUCUUUUGAGGUUUUAUUAAUGAAGGAAUCCAAAAUAAUAAUAAUAAUAAUAAUAGGAGUGAGAAAAUGGUGCUGGAUUACCCAUAAAAUACCUAGAAAUUGGUUGAGGAGGUUCAAAAAUACAAUAAUUAAAAUUUGACAGUAUAUUUUUAACUUGUGAGAGUCAUGUGACAAGAAAAAUUCAAUUGAGGAAGAAAAGUUCAAAAUCAGAUGUUUAUGGACUCAAUUAAAUUUUAUCUAAGGUUUAAUUGAAUUUAUGGAGGGUUUGAUUGCAAGAAAAAUUGAUUUUUAAAGUAAAUUUACGCUUUUAUUGGAAAAAAAGUUAAAGUUCUGGGGUCCAAUUAUAAUUUUGAAGAGUUGAUUUGGUCAAAUUAGGGGCUUAAUUACAUAAUUAUUGAAGUUUGAUGGCUAAUUAGGAACUUAAUUGAAACAAUCCGAAACCAAGGACCAAACCAGAAAAGGCGAUAACAUUAAGGGACCCAAUUACAAUGUUUCCGGGGUUUGAUUACACAAUUGCGAAACUUUCAAGGACCAAAUCAGAAGACUCCAAACGGCGCCGUUUCCUUUGAAGCACUAUUCACUGUCUUCUCAAACAUGGCAGCUGUGGCGUUAAAGGCAGGAGACGUUAGCAGCGAUAAUGGAGCCGCUUCAAUCAGGGGGCAUGUCUCACGCCACCAUGUACGGAAGCCUUUACUUUGUUGCCAGAAAACUUCUGCAUCCUCUGGCUAUAAAAGCCAGAGGAAGGAUCGAGCAAAGGGGAGAAAAAAAGGGAGGAGAAAGCAAGGAGACAGCAGAAAAAAAAAACAGGGUGGGAAAAAAGGAAAGAGAAAAGAACAGAGGGGAAAGGAGACGAGGAGGACGCAGACACACCAGAAAAAAAGAACAGGGAGAAUAAAGAAAGGAAACAGAGGGAUGCGCACUGGGUAGCACAGGGAGAAGGAAGCAGGGGAGAGGGACUGUUGAACCUCUUUCAAAACCGCAGGAUCCGUGAUCAAGCUCAGACGAAUUGGAAAAAAAACACGAAUACCAGUAGCAAGGAAAAACAGACGAAGAGGAAGAACCAGAGGAAAAGCAAACGAAACAGGGAAGAUAUAAAUCCAAAACAUGUUGCUGUCUUCGUCUUGCUUCCAGGUAACUCCAGCUUGGCAAAAUAAUGCACAAAAUACUGUGCACUUGGAAUUUAAUUACAUGGUGGCUGCAGCAAGCGUGCGUGACUUAUUCACGCACGCUGGCGGGUAGAAUCCAGCCGGGUCACUGGUUUGGGCCAAUGACCCGGCUAAGCCUGCUGGGUCCAGCCCAGCCACAUGGGCCGAGCUAGACCCAGCCCAAAAAAAUCCAAAAAUCUCUUCAAAAAAUUUAUGAUUUUCUCGUAUAUUUUUUACUGCAUUUUGAUCAAUAUUGGUUUGUAUUUUUAUAAUGUAAAGAUACAAAUCCGGUAUUAAAAUACUUGGUUUUCGUCAAAACACAAAAAAGUAAAAAAUAAAUAAAUAAUAUUUUGUUUUCAUGCAUACGGCCAAGUAUCUCAAAGAAAAAAAAAUCAUAUUUUCAUACAACAAAAAUUCAAAAAAUAGGUAUUAGUAUGCAUUUUGGCUUUAAUAACCAGUUUAUUAAAGUUACGAGAACUAGGCCAAAAUUUCAAAAAUUCAAAAAAAUUAUUUUGUUUUCUUUUAAUAUCUAGGGUUACGACCUUAUACGUAAGACGUAUUCCGGAUAUUAAAUUCUUUUGUUGAUGUUAGAAUGGUUAAGUUUCACCCGAUAAGAUAAGGAUCUCCUUAUCAAGGAGAACUUUUCUUAAAUCAUAGACGGACCAACAACUAGAAAACACGACAAGACCUUAGAUUUUAUCAGACAAUAAAACAAUGCAGUUUACCUUAGGUAGGGCGUAUUUGGGGUGCUAAUACCUUCCCUUUACGCAACCAGUCCCCGCACCCGAUCUCUGAGACCAAUUAGGAUUCCUAGUGACCAAAAUACUAGGUGGUGAGUCCCAUUCCAAUUUUUCCACUAAUAAAAGACAAGAAUUUCUUGUCUCCCCAUAUUUUCCAUAUUUUUAGAUAAUACAAAAUUUUGAGGGUGGAUGUUUUCGCCGCACACGUGCGACAAUUAAAGUGCCAAAGGAUACCAAUCGUCCCACCACUACCAGAAAAUUGAUAAAUACAAACAGAAAUACCGAGGAAAUAUUUUUGUCGGUGAAUUGCCGACGGAUUUUACCGAUGGAAAUAUUCCCUCGAAAUUUACCGAGGGAAUUACAAUGGGAAAAAUAAUUAAAACAAAGCAAAAAAAUGAUGACGUGCCAUUUUUACCAACGAAAUUACCGACGAAAUAAAAUCAUUGGUAAACUGUCAACACUAUUCAUCAUGUUAAUUACGAAUGGAAUCACAGAGGGAGCAUUUCGUCGGUAUUUUACAGAGAGCUUUAGAACUAUUCACUUCCCAAUUGCACUGUUAAUUACUGUUCUUUACAGAAAAAAUCACUGACGGAUUGAAAAGUCGUCGAUGUUAUUUGGUGGUUUUCUGAAAAAUUUAAAUUAAAUAUUACAAACGGAAUCACUGACGGAAUGAAAAGUUAUCGGUGAUAUUUGACGGUUUCUAAAAUGUUUUUAUUAAAUUCAAAAUUUAAAUUAAAUAUUAUAGACAGAAUCACCGACGGAAUGAUUAAAAAUAUUAAUAUUUAAUUAUCCAUAAGUAAAAUUAUCGGUAAACGCCCCAAUAAAAAGCCUAGAAUCUCUACAGACCCGUCUUCUUUCUUCUUCUUCUUCUUCUUUUUUUCUUCUCUCUCCUCAACUCCUUCUCUUCUCCUCCAUACUCAGGUAUGUCUUCUUCUUCUUCUUUUCUUCUGUUCUCUCCUCAACUCCUUCUCUUCUCCUCCAUACUCAAGUAUGUUUUCUUCUCCUUUCUUAUUUUUUCUUCUCAGUUUUUUUUAAUUAGUAUAGUUUACGAAUUUUUUUUUCUCUUCUUAGCUUCACUUGCAACUACAUUAAGGUAAAAAAAACAUUUCUUCUUUUUUCGUGUUUUUUUCACUAUAUUUGUUUUUUAUUUUAUUUGUAAUUGCUUUUUUCUUAAUAAUUGUAUGAAUUUUGUUGUAGGAUUCAUUUUUUCAUAUAAGAUCAAUUUUUAGUUGAUUUCUUUAUAGGAUUUUUAAACUUUUUUCAUAUGAAUUUUUUUAGUUGAAUUUAUUUUUUCACGUUAUUUAUUUGUUGCAAAUUUUUUUGAUUUGAUUUUCUUCCUUUUUCCAAGAAUUUUGAGUAUUAUAGACUGUUGAUUAAUAAUUAUUUUAUAUUUUUGUAAUAUAUAAUUUAUAUAUUUUUAAAUAAUUACCGAUGGAAUUACAUACGGUUUGUUUCCGAGGAAAUUACCGACGGAAUGAAAUAGUUUUUUUUUGCUUGCUUUUUUCGUUAGUAAAUCCAUCUGUAAUAAUAUUUUUUUAUUACCAACGGACUUACCGACGGACAAAAAAUUAUCAACGAAAGAUUAACCGAUGGAGACUUUCCGUCGGUGAUUUUGUCGGUGAGUUUUUUACCAAUGAAAUGGUAGUGCAAAUACUGACAGAAAAUUUCGUCGGUAAAUCUAAAGAUUUUGGUAGUGCACCUUAGAUGAGUGGUCUUACCAGUUGAAACGGUUUGAUGAAUUUGCUUCCAUACAAAUGUUAUAAGCUUGAGUAAUUUUCAUCGGUGUCAAGAACAACUAUUAGGUACUUUAUGGCUCCAAAAGCAAGUAAUUAUAUAAUCUUUAAGCCGCUUUUGGAUCAGUAGUUACUAGUAGAUUAUAUAAUCUUUAAGCUGCUUUUGGAUCAGUAGUUAGUAGUAUAUUGUCUCGCACUAUGAAUUAAUAUCAAAUUUAAAAAAAAUGUAAAAGAAAUAUUAAGAGUAUAGAUAAUGUUUUAAUAGCCUUGGAUCAAGUAGUCAUGUCAGAUUCAAGGCUCUUAGGUCUGAAAUGGCUCUUAGGUCUGAAAUGGUUGUCAAACCCAAGUAGCUUAGGUCUGGUGUGGUAGCUAGAUGCAAGGCGUUUGGGUCUGGCAAAAACGCUACACGCAAACUUAUUUUUCAUUUUUUUAUGCUAAAAACAUUAUUUUACUGUAUAUGAAAAUUGUAAAAACCUGAAAUGCCCUUUUUCGGCAGCCUAUCUUUUAUAUAUAUAUAUAUUUGAGGCAAAGAAGUAUUAUUACUAAUACGAAUAUUGUGAAAAGCCAAGAAAGUCAUUGGUUAACAAUUCUAAUUUUUAUUAACUCUAGGGGUUAAAGAGUACUUUAACUAUGUCCUAGGUGCCUUGGGUCUAGCAGCCUUGCUAGAUUGGCAUCUAGAUCUGCAACCAUGCCAGAUCGUGUUGGGGUCUGCCACACCCACGCAUGGGUCUGACAACCAUACUAGAUCCACGCACAACAAACAAAGUGGAUAAUUGUGUACUUUAGUUUUUAGGAGAGAAAAAAAAUAGAAGAAAAAACACAAACAAUCGAUCAUCAGCGGCAAUCCAACCAUUAUCUAGCUACACGCGCCAUACUAUGUGGAAGAGGGCACAACUAUAAACUUCCAAUUAGAUGGUCGUUAGCCAUAUUUGGCUACUAGAAAGUGUCAUAUAUGCCUCCUUAAUGGCGUGAGGAACACUGACCCACAGCUUUUCAAUUAAAAUAAUAAAUAUAUCAUGAAAAUACUAAAACGCCCCCAUGGUCCUCUUAAUUACACAAAUAUCCGUAUAAAAAUACCAAAAUACCCCCAAAUGCAAAGUUUUUUAUUUUAUUUUUUCUGAGGCUAAAAGCGUUAUAUGACUGUACUUGGAAAUUGAAAAAAUCCAAAUACCAUUGUAAUAGAAAAUCAAAGAAACAUCUCGUGAAAAUAUAAGAAAUUAAAAGUGAAACUACUGUUAUAAUCUACAAUAAAAAAUCUCUUAAUAUAUAGUGAUUUUCCGACAUCAUUUAGUUUUUGUUAUAAUUGAGCUGUUUUCGUGAAAAUAUUGGAAUUUAUAAAUAAUUUUUAUACAAGGUGUCUUAUAUCUAUGUAAGAAUGAGAAGUAUAAUUUAGGAUUAUCUGAGUGGUAUGGUUAUGUACUAAGUAAUCACAUCUAACAGACUUUCUUCUUUAACCAUGUUGAGCGCGAUAUGACAUGAACAGAGGAUGGUUACAUGAAUAUGCCUUUACGGGCCGUUUAUUUUAUUUUUAAUUUUAAAAAAAACUGUGUUUUAUGAUUUUUUUUAAAAAAAAUUAUUGCUUGAAAUUAAUUUUUUUAUGUUUUUAGAUCUGUUAAUAUUAAAAUUAAUUUUUAAAAAAUAAAAUAAAAAUAUUAUUUUUAUAUAUUUCUGAACGAAAAAUAUUUUUAAAAACAAUCGCUCUCACAUUUAUAAACAAUAUUUUAAUAUAUAAAAGACCUAGCAAGUUGGAUUAUAUUUUGACUUGGGGUAAUCCUCACAGUGUGGCUUGGUUAACCUAUAGGGUUUGGACAAUGCUUUCACUCAUUGUUAUUAAACCCGGCCCGGCGGGUCGACCAGGGACCCAGUCGACCUGGUAGCUGGACCGGUCCGGGUUUAAUAAAAGACUGGCUGGGGUAAUAGUCAGGCCAAACCCGGGUGACCCGGCGGGUCGAUCCAUGACCCGAGCGACCCGGGCGAACCCGGACGAGACCGGGUGUUUUUUUUUUUUCAAAUGUGAGAUUUCAAACCCAUUAGUAUAUAUACUUUAUGUUUCCAAGAAAAAAGUCAUGUUUUUUCAAUGUGGGAUAAAAAAACCUUUUGGUUUAAAUACUUCAACUUAAAAGAAUAACAUGGUAUCUUUUUAAUAUGGAAUUUGAAGCCCUUUCGUAUAUAUACUCUAUGUUCUCAUGAAAAAAGUUAUGUUUUUUCAAUGUGGAAUUUGAAACCCCUUAGUAUAUAUACUCUAUGUUCCCAAGAAAAAAAAUCAUGUUUUUUCAAUGUGAGAUAAAAAAACCUUUUGGUUUAAAUAUUUCAACUUAAAAGGAUAACAUAAUAUCUUUUCAAUGUGGAAUUUGAAGUCAUUUCGUAUAUAUACUCUAUGUUCUCAUAAAAGAAGUUAUGUUUUUUCAAUUUGAGAUUUGAAACCUAUUAGUAUAUAUACUCUAUGUUCCCAAGAAAAACGUUAUGUUUUUUCAAUGUGGGAUAAAAAAAAAUUUGGUUUAAAUACUUCAACUUAAAAGCUUAACAUAAUAUCUUUUUAAUGUGGGAUAAAAAACUUUUUAAAAUAUUAUUUUAAACUUCAUUGUUUACAAUAUGUGUAACCUAUAUUUACAUGGAUUUUUUUCAUAUGAAAUAUUAAAAUUUUAAUUUUUCCAGGUUGAUCCGGGUUAACCCGAGUUGACCCAUAAAACCUGAAACCCGGCCCUUUAACCGGCAACCCCAAGCUGAGUUUAAUAACUAUGCUUUCACCUUGGCAUCAACUCAGGAAGAGUAGACGAAGAUGCCUUUCGUCUAUAUUUGACUCGGAGUAUAGAUAAUUCUUUUGUAUUGACUUGGAGUCAACGUGCAUGGAAGCAAGUUGAGUAUUUAAGGAUCCAGAGAGGCGAUAUUUAUGUAGUAACGUCGCCUAGAAGUCUACAAUGGUGUACUAAGGAGGCUAAAAUUAACGUUGCUGGUAAUAUUAAGUAUAAACUAAAAUGUGUGAGUUUUUUUUACCGUGUAUUCAUAUAUUAUUAUGGAUUAAAUGUCUAAAAUCUUUAGUUUUUUUUUUCAAUUUGGUUUUUAAUUUAUUUAUUUUUGAUGAUUUAGUCCUAAUUGUGUAAAAUCUUUUUUAUUAGGUGGUUUUUUACCUUUAUACUUCAUGAAAAAAUAUAUAUAUAUAUAUAAACUCGGAUUGAUUUUUUGUUUUUGGUUGAUUUUGGUUUUUGAGACAGUUUUUUGAAGUCAAUGAUAGAUUUAUCACGGUUCCUAAAAUAUUUUAUAGGUAUUUUAAGUAAACAAUUUAAAAAUGGGUUUUUAAGUCAAAAAAGUUAAGCCCUGAUUUUUCAGCCAUUGUGGUGGCUGGAAUAUAAACAAAUCAAACAACUUGUUCUCUGAUUUUUUUUUCAAAAAAAAGUAGGACAAUGGACAUGCUACAAAAGAAAUAAGAGUCCAAUCACGGGGGCUUGCCAGUGCAGGCUCACUUAGGGAACCUAACAAAAUGGGCAAGGCGUCCGAACCCAACAAAGCUUGGCCUUUGUUUUUUUCUUGUAAAUUAUUAUUUCUUAAUUUUUUUAAAUGAAUGAUUUGUUUUGUUUUUUUCUCUAAUUUUUUUAUUUUUCAGAUUAUAUUUAUAACAUGUGUAACCGCGCAUCGUGUUUUUUUCCCCUUUUAUUCUAUUCAAUAAAUUUAAUUUGUGUUUCCAUUUUUAUUAUUAUUUUCUUUAAUAAAAAAUUAUCUUAAUAAAUAAAUUUAGCAAAUACAAUAAGAUAAAUUUCUUAUAUUUAAAGAUUAAAUAUCUUGAUGUAAACCUAAAUCUUAAUUUUCAAAGCUUUAUAAUUUUCGAAGCUUUAUACCUUAGAAAAUGAUACCUCAAUUUUGUACUUGCUAAAGCUUAAUUUUGACUCAAUUUAUAAAUAUCUUGACUCAAUUUUGUCACCGUGAGUCAACAGCUAGUCUUCAGCUUUAUUAAAGCAUAUAUACUAUUAUCUUCCAUCAUAUGUGGAUAGAAUGCACUCUUACUUUUCAAAGUUGGCUUAUUCAAUAGUGCGAAGUAUUUGAUACGUUCAUUAAUUAUCUUGGGCACGUGUGGAUAGAAUGCACUCUUACUUUUCAAAAAAAUAGUAUUUUGUGAUUUUUUGAAAAGAAUAUUGCUUGAAAUUAAUAUUUUUUAUUUUUAGAUUGUUGUGAUGUGUUAAUAUGAAAAAUAAUUUUUAAAAAUUUAAAAUAAAAAUAUUUUAUAUAUAUAUAUCUAAAUAAAAAAAUAUUUUUAAAAAUAAUAUGUAUAAUCUUAAUAUAUAAAAAGGACCCAUAAAAACACUAUCUUAAUAUAUAAAAAGGACCCAGCAAGCUGACAUAAACUUAGGAAGAGUAGACGAAGAUGCCUUUCGUCUAUAUUUGACUCGGAGUAUAGAUAAUUCUUUUGUAUUGACUUGGAGUCAACGUGCAUGGAAGCAAGUUGAGUAUUUAAGGAUCCAGAGAGGCGAUAUUUAUGUAGUAACGUCGCCUAGAAGUCUACAAUGGUGUACUAAGGAGGCUAAAAUUAACGUUGCUGGUAAUAUUAAGUAUAAACUAAAAUGUGUGAGUUUUUUUUACCGUGUAUUCAUAUAUUAUUAUGGAUUAAAUGUGUAAAAUCUUUAGUUUUUUUUUUCAAUUUGGUUUUUAAUUUUUUUUUGAUGAUUUAGUCCUGAUUGUGUAAAAUCUUCUCAAUUAGGUGUUUUUUUACCUUUAAAGUUCAUAAAAAACAUAUAUAAACUCGGAUUGAUUUUUAGUUUUGGGUUGAUUUUGGUUUUUAGAACGAUUUUUUGAGCUCAAUGAUAGAUUUAUCAUGGUUUAUAAGAUGUUUUGUAGGUAUUUUAAGUAAACAAUUGGUUGAAAAUGGGUUUUUGGGUCAAAAAAGUUAACCUGAUUUUCCAGCCAUUAUGGUGGCCGGAAUCUAAACAAAUCAAACGACUCGUCCUCCGAUUUUUUUUUCUAAACAAAAUUGGGACAGAAGACACAUUACACAAAAAAAAAAUAAGAGUCCAAUCACGGGGGGGCCUGCCAGUGCAGGCUCGCAUGUGGAACCAAACAAAAUGGGUGAGGCGUCCAAACUCAACACAGAGCCUGGCCUUUGUUUUUUUUUUUGUAAAUUAUUAUUUUUUAAUUUUUUUUAAAUUAAUGAUUUUUUUUCUCUAAUUGUUUUUUAUUUUUCAGAUUAUCAGAUUAUAUUUAUAAUAUGUGCAACCACGCUUGGUGUAUUUUUCUUCUUUUAUUCUAUUCAAUCAAUUUAAUUUGUGUCUCUAUUUUUAUUAUCAUUUUCUUUAAUAAAUAAAUUAUUUUGAUAAAUAAAUUUAGCAAAUAGAAUCAAAUAAAUUUCUUAUAUUUUAGAAUUAAAUAUCUACAUCAACACCUAACUCUUAAUUUUCAAAGCUUUAUAUUUUUCGAAGCUUUAUACCUUAGAAAAUGAUACCUCAAUUUUGUACUUAUGAACUAUGUUCUGCUUGGAAACCUCUGAAGGUGGAGCCUGUCACCGUGAGUCAACAGCUAGUCUUCAGCUUUAUUAAUGCAUAUUAUUAAUUAAAGCAUAUUAUUAUCUUCCUUCAUAUGUGGAUAGAAUCCACUCUUACUUUUCAAAGUUGGCUUAUUCAAUAGUGCGAAGUAUUUGAUACGUUCAUUAAUUAUCUUGGGCACCUGUGGACUUAAUUUCAAGAAUAGUUCCCUUCGAAUGCUGCUAAAAAUCAUGGUGGCUAUAAAUAGCUAGGAGCGGUGGAUAGGAGGAGAGCAUAAUCAUGUUAGUCGCAUAUAUUUCCAAGAUGAAGGCCUUUCUUAUCGUAUGCUUUCUCUUAGCUACCAUCGUCUUCUCUCCCCUGUCCACUUGCACUGCUCGAGAAUUGGCCGAGCGAGGUGAGAUUUUAUUUCCAACAUUAACUUCAAAAAAGCAGUUCAUUUUGUGUGUGUAAUCUCUGUGUACACGACCUUUUGUUAUAAAACUGAUGAGUCAACCUUUACUUCUACUUCCGGCAUUAAUUAAGUUAAGAUAAUCAUUAAUUUCAUGUUUUGUAUGUAUUUAUUGUUUAAUUAAUCUGUCGUGGGCUAUCUUAUAAAAAAAGAAGAAGAUGAUUCUGCUAUAAUAUCAGAUUAUGUCAACAUGAAUUUGCUGUAACAUGCGUGAAUCUUGCAGACGUAGGAACUCGGAACCCCAAUAAACCAGUGUUCAGUUGCGGAAGGGGUAAUCGAUAUUGCGUACCUGGCCCAUCACCAAAACGUAAAUGCACAAGUCCUUACCGGCGUGGUUGUGGGCGCCAUUAAGAUUAGAAGCAAGCAAAGUUGAGUGCUUAAAAGCAUGGAGAGCUUCUGCUGUCUUAGUCAAUAUGUAAAAUGAUGAGAACUAUUUAUGUGAGAAAAAUAAAUUAAGUUCUUAGUGAGUUAAUUUCAUGGUAUCUUUUGAGGUUUUUAUUUCGGUCAUUACGCAGUCCUCUUAUUUGUAAUCUCCCAUGAGAAUUAUUAAUGAAGUUUAAUUAUGCCAAACAAUAUGUUUAAUUACUUGUUUUUCCUCAAAUAUCAAGUUGAAAUCAAAUAUAUAUAUAUAUAUAUAUAUAUAGUAAAAUAAAAUAAAACUUAACUAGAGAGAGCAGAGUUUUAGCUAUAUAGGUUGUAGAUCAGGCCUCAGUCUAACUACAAAGAAGAAAAAAGAAGAAAAAUAAGGAAUAAACAGCCCAACUAAUGAAACAACAACACAAAAAUUCAAACAAAAUCAGAAUUUAAACGGAUCAAGCCGAAAUACAUUUAUGAUAGUUAUAUAGAUUCGCACAUGUAUACUAGAAUAAAAAAUUCAGAUUUCUGAUGGAAGCUACAGCAAAUAAAUUAGAACAAAUGUCAUAUAUUUCCAAGAUGAAGGCCUUUCUUAUCGCAUGCAUUCUCUUAGCUACCAUCGUCUUCUCUUCCCUAUCCACUUGCACUGCUCGAGAAUUGGCCGAGCGAGGUGAGAUUUUAUUUCCAUCAUUAACUUCAGAAAAACAGUUCAUUUUGUGCGUGUAGUCUCUUUGUGUAUUGCAAACAAUUUUUUGUUAUAAAACUGAUGAGUCAACCUUUACUUCUACUUCCAGCAUUAAUUAAGUUAAGAUAAUCAUUAAUUUCAUGUUUUGUAUGUAUAUAUUGUUUAAUUAUUCUGUCAUGGGCUAUCUUAUAAUAAUUAAAAAAAAAAAGGAUUCUGCUAUAAGAUCGUCGAUGGAAAGACAAUUGCAUUAGCGGUUCCAUCAAUGAUUAUUAACCACAACAAUUAGAUAGUUCAUAAUCAACCACAACCACGUAUUUACACAUCUACAAAAAUAAUAAAACUUAUACAAAUUUCAUGAUUCAUUUAAAUAUGGCUCACAACAAUGAGAUAAACAAAAAUUACCAUAACCCAUCUUUACCUUACAUACUAUAUAUGUUUGUCUUAAUAAUUAGAACACUAUAGCAUUUAACAGUUUUACCGACGAACUGUAUCCGUCGGUGUGAAAUUAACAUUUCGUCAGUAAUUAUUUUACCAACUAAAUCCCCAACAGAAUCCGUCCGUCGGCAUAGUUUUCGUCAGUAAUUCCACAUUAUGUCUCUAAUUCUAUCGGUAAAAAAAUGAAAUGCCAAUGAUUUUAUAGACGGAACAUGCACGCCAAAAAAAAAUUCUCGUUGGAAAUAUACCGACAAAAAUAAUCCGUCGGUGAUUGUAGCAUAUGAAGUAAAUAUUUUUCAACUCUCGGUGAAAUGCCGACAGACUGUAUUCGUCUGCAGAGACGUCGAUGAUUAUGGCAUUUGCAGUAAAUAUUUUGCAACUCUCGGUAAAAUACCGACGAAAUAUUUUUGUCUGUUAAGAUGUUGGUGAUUGUGGUAUUUCCAGUAAAUAUUUUUCAACUCUCUGUAAAAUACUGAUGAAAUGUUUUCGUCUGGAAAUCCAUCGGUGAUAUUUUUUAUUUUUUAAAAAAACAUUAUAUAGAAUAAAUAAUAUAAAUUAAUAGUAAAAAAACCAAUUAUGCAAAUAAAAUUGUAUUAAACAUAAUAAAAAUAAAAAUAAAAAUGAAGUUAAAUAAUAUUCAUAAUAAAUUUAAUGUGUUUCCAAAAAAAACUUAAACUAGAACAAUGGCGAAGCAAGAUGAGGAGGAGGUGGUGGAGGCUGGUCGUUCCCGGGACAAAACGGCCAAAAAGGAGGCGCACAUGUAUCAUCCAUUUGUGAUGUAAUUUUCAUGAGCAUUUGGCGGAGUUGUUUAUAAUUCACCAAGAGUUGCUCGUAUUUUUCGAUGAGAUGAGCUGUGUGUUGUUGCUAGGCCACGAUCUCCUUAGAUUGGGUGCUCAAUAUUGAUUGAGAGCUCCCAACAGUUGAAAUAUUAUGGGCCGCUCACAAGUUCUCGGCCGUAGUGUUGGAGAGCCUGUACACCCAAUUUUUAUCGGGUCUACCAGACGAUUCUACCUCCAUCCACAAAUUCAGAUUGAAAUCCAGAUGGGUCGAAGGAUCGUUCCCAUAUCUCUCCCUCAACUGGCUAUUAUAGGUCUCUUGAAAAGGAAAAAAGAAAUCAUCAUAUUCAAUUCAAGAAAAAUAAUAACUUAUGAAAUAAAAUAGUUGAACGAACAUACCACGAAGUGUUGAGUGUGGUUGUCAACGAACUGUUGCACCUUCUUUUGGCGGUCUUCACUCCGCAUGUGUGUCUCUAGAAAUAGCUUCAUUAGGCUCGACUCACAUCCAAGAGACAUAGCCUGUAAAAAAAAAAUUAAUUAAGUAAUGACAAAUUAAUUAACGAUAUAUUUCAUUUAAAUUAAUUUUACCAUUUGUUUUGCAUGUACAGCAAACAAAACGGAGCCGCCAUGUGGACCGGACUAUCGGUUCCGGUACCAAACUAUAUACAUUAAUAAACGUUGUCAUCAUUCAGGUGAUGCCUCUGCUAGAGAGGCAAUUAUACAUCAAGAAAUACUUGUAACGGGUGGUGAAUGAUUAAAUGAACUUUAGAAUUCUUUGCUUUGAUUACGUUCAAAAUGGCCCAAAGACCACAACUUGCUAUUAAUAGGUUGGGCUGAUGUGAAGUCAUGAUGACCCAACUUAAAUUUACUCGAUAUAAAGAAACAUUCACAUAUAUUUAAAAUUCAAAUUUAAUAAUAAACGAUAAAGUAAACACGACUAUAUAUACAUUUUUAAUUUUUUUCAUAAGCAAUUGAUGUUGAUGUUGCUACUACAAAGACAAUUAUAAGUCAAUAAAUACUUUUUUUAUUAUUAACAUAGGUGUUCGGGCCAGCUUGCGCGUACCUCGACUAAUUCCACGGGCCCUGAAGUUAACGACCAUGUAAGCCUCUAGUGGCCCUGAGGUUUGUGGGACUCAAACUGGUGACCUCUAGGGAGCAUCGUGUGAACCGCUUAGACGUCACGUGCUCAGUAUAUUACGGUUAUAUAUCCCUUGGGAUGUUUGGCGGUUUGAAAUCCUUCCAAACUGUCACGUCAUUUCAGCCUUGUAGACCGUUAUCUCUCGUGUAUUUUUUGGCCUUUUUUGUGCUAUAUACCAAAAAUCACGCAACCUACUUCCAUAGUGAUAAAUUAGAUUUUAAAACAAAAAUGUUUUUUUUUUAAUAUCGUAUUGUUUUCGAUGUUACCUAGUUGUUGCGUGAUUUUCCCACACCCUCCUCACAACAUUUUCAUGUACGUUUUUAAAAUUAAUCUAACAAAAUGGAGUUUGUUACUAAAUUAGUGGUUAAUGAUUUGCUGUGAAUCAAAUGAUUUUUUUUAAUGAUUUGUUAUAUCUAUAACAAAUGUCAAGAUGUUGUUUAUGUGUUUUUUAGGAAAACAAAUAUUGUGGAGUUGACUUGACUUGACCAAUACACUUUACAAAUCUAAAUAAUUGGUGAAAUAUAAUUUGGAUAAAAUAAUUUUAAGACGAUAUUAUUUUGUAUAUAAAUAUUAAAACAACAACAUAUUGAAUUGACUCGGCUUAACUUGCCAAAUUCGUGACUCGAGUCAUAAGGCUAUGAUAGCUCCAUUGAAAAUAAAUAAAAAUAAAUUAUAAAACUCAAUUCUCAAUCAACGUCAUGUUAUAGGAUAGAAUUGAAAAUAAAAUUAAUUAAAAAAAAGACAAAAUAAAAAAUCACAGUCAACCUAAAUUAACUCAUCAAAUUCACGACCCGAGUCAUGAGACUAAAAUAACCUCAUAGAUAGCAAAUCAAAUCAAAUUAUGAAGUCUAAUUCUCAAUCAACUCAAUGUUGAAAGAUGAAAUUAAAAAAAAAAAUCAAUUAAAAAAUGAUUCAAGAAGUCAACUCAGGUUAAUUUAUCAAGUUCGUAACCCUAAUUAUAAGAUUAUAAUAACCUCUUAGAAAACAAAUCAAAAUAAAUUAUAAAUUAUAUUCCCAAUAAAUCUAAUAUUAAAAGAUAAAAUUAAAAAAAAAAUCAAAGAACCGUUUCCUCCUCUUUUAAUUAGUUUUUAUUAAGUAUUUUCAUCCAUAUACAUGUGGAUGGAAUUGCACUCAUAUUUUUCAUAGCUGGCUUAUUCAAUAAUGCAAAGUAGUGGACACGUUCAUUAUUUGUUUUCUCUUAUGCGUAUGCGAACCUCCAUUAUUAGUUCACAUGCAAUGCUGCUAAGCAUGUUGGUGGCUAUAAAUAAGAGUGGCAGAGAAGAGGGAAUAACCAUCUUAAACACAAAUUAAUAUUUCCAACAUGAAGGCCUUUCUUAUCAUAGGCAUUCUUUUAGCUACCGUUGUCUUCUCUCUCCCUUCUCCACUUCCACUGCUCAGGAAUAUAAUUAAGGCCCAUAAAGGUGAACCCACCAUUUCUAUCUGCUAUCGAUUCCACUGAUCUUAUGAUUUAAGAGAUAAGCAUGUUCGUAGUUCAUGUUUUGUGUGUGUGUGUGUGUGUGUGUGUUAAGUAGUAUUAUAGAAUGUAUAGCAUGUAUAUCUCUGAAUAGGAAAUUAAUGUAGGAUUAUUCCAAUGUUGUAAUCCCUACGGUUACUAUCGUAUUCUGCCCUACAUAUAUAAAUAGGAAAGGUUGGCUAAGGCCAACCUAAGUCAUUCUGUUAUUCUCAACUAGUAGUUCAUAUAUGUAUUGUGUUUAUGUAUAAUACUGCAGCUAUGCCUGCUUUUGAAUGCAAGCAAAUAUUUGUUGCCAAAACUUUAUAUAUUUAAAUAGAUAUCUUACGAUCUUAUCUUAAUUGUAUACAAAAACCUUGCUUCAAGAUUACCCAACCAUGUUCAUGCUGCUCUCUUUUUACUUCCUUUGAUUUUUGGUCAUCGGGUUCCAUUUUCUUAUUUUCACUCCCUUUUUUUUUUUAUAUAUAUAUAAAUAUUACUUAAUUAUAUUUACUGAGUUUGUGAUAAUUCUCAUAACACGUGUAACAUACAUGUAAGUAAAUCUUUGCAGGUCAUAUGUGACGAUUGACCCUUCAAGAUACAUACCAUGCCGUAGCCGGCCUGAUGAUCCAAAUUGCAUCCCAAGGCGAAUCCCCGUACGGCCUUGUAAUCCUUACAAGCGAUAUUGUAAAAUCCCAUGAGAAUGGAAGUAAAGUUAAUUUUGUGCUUAAAAGUGUCGACCGACAGCUAGUAGUAUCUUUACUAACAUGGUAAUUUGAUAUGAGAACAUUUUAUGUAAGAAAAAUAAACUAUGAAGUUCUCAUAACAUGUCAACAACCAUGUAUUCUUAAAGCAUAUUAUUAUCUUCAAUAAUGCAAAGUAUUCAGUAAGCGGUAAUGCAACCCUAAAGCUUGCAGAAAACCUUACACCCUGGGUUAGAAGAGUAUGGAUGGCUAAUAGUGUCUUUAUCAUUAUAUAUGUAAAAUGUUAUUUGUAAAUGAGGACUAUAUAUUUAUGUGGGAAAUUUAAAAUAAAUAAAGUUCCCAUGAUCAGUGGAUGGAAGGAAACAUUUUGAGGUUUUAAUUUCUGUAAUAUUAAAGAAAGUUUAUGCCAAAUGAAGUGGUUAAUUAAUCUAAUUUCUUAUUGUGGUGCUUAUAUGGUAAAAUCAAUUAAAUAAAGUUGGAACUGGAUGCUUAUAUAUUAUUCAAGCAUUAAAAUUAAUUACGGGAGUGAUAAUUAAUGAUUGAUUUAUCUUUUGUUAGCUUAGGGAGGUAAACUUAAUCUCGACUUAUGAAAUAUGAUCCAAUAAUAAAAGUUUGACUCCUUCUUUUCUUUUCAAUUUUCUCUUAAUUUUUUUUUAAUUUUAAUGAAAGUUUCAUUGAAUUUCUUUUUCUUAGUUUCCCAUUUUGGUUCUACUUUGGUUUUUUUUUUUACAGUUUUUUAUGUUUUUCAAUAUUGUUUUAUUCCUUGAAUCGAGAUUUUGUAUCUUGAAGGGCACUUUAGUCAUCCUAUUGGAAAAUUUGUUGAGAUAUAAGGGUUAUAUAUGUUCUCUAUUUUAGGCCUUAGAAAAUGAUUGAAGAAAUAGACUAAUAAACUUAACUAUUCACGCAUGUGUGUGUGUAUGUGCUUACUGGUGAUUUUCCUUCGCACUAAAUUUAACUCUUCAAUCUAUUCACCACUUGAUAAAAGCAAGUCGAAAUACUAUUGACCCAAGCCAUUUUGAUGUCAACGUCCGUUGCUCUAGUAUGUUUGAAAACUUGAUGUAAAUUGUGUUUUUAUAAAAUUUUAAUUUAAAAAAAAACAAAAAAAAAACAAUGCAGAAACUAAAAAAAAGAGAAGGAACCAUCACCUACCACCACAACACCGCCAUCGUGAAUGACAGCACCUCACCUAGGUCAGCCUCUCCUCUUUUUCUUUUUUUUCUUCUCUUAGUUGCUUCAUUAUUCACGUUGUAUGUGAACAGUGAAGAGUUUCUCCAUUGUUUUUCUAGGCCGGACAGCGACGGCCCAGACCAAAUUAUUUUUUUUCACACGACUUGUCAUCUGAUUUUUUUCAAAAUAAAUUUGGGCGAAUGACAUGUUAUUUGACCUAGUUACAAAAAAAAAAAUAAGGGCCUAGACACGUGGGCUUGCAAGGGCAGGCUCGUGUGUGGGCCCUAACAAAAUAGGUUUUUUUAAUCUUUUGUAUGAAUGAACUUUUUGAAAAAAAAAAUUUCUAAUUUUGUUUUAAAUUAAUGAUUUUUUAUGGUUUUUUCUCUAAAAAAUUUUAAUUUAUAUUUAGAUUAGUAGCCCUUCUUUCUUUCAUUUUAUUUAGAGAGCCUCUUUUAAAUUACAAUUAAUUUUUUGGUUAUGCAUUUAAAUUUGAAAAGUUUUUUUAUUCAUCUACAAUAUUUUUUUUAAUCUUUUGUAUGAAUGAACUUUAGUUUUGAAAAUAAAAAAUAAAUAUUUUCAAAUAAUAUUUCUAACAUGUGCAGUCACGCAUGAUUUUUUUUCUCUUUUAUUUUAUUCAAUCAAUUUAAUUUGUUUUUUUAUUUCUAUUAUCAUUUUCUUGAAUAAAAAAAUUAUUUUAAUAAAUAAAUUUAGCAAACACAGUAGGGUAAAUAUCUCGUGUUUUGAGACUAAAUAUUUUGAUUUACACCUAUCUCUUGAUUUUUAAGUUUUAUACUUUUCGAAGUUUUACACAUAAAAUUUGUCAAGUUUUGCUCAUGUAGAUACAAUUGCAUUCAUACUUUUCGAAGUUACAAUUAACUCUAUUUUUUUGUGGUAGAUUCAAUAUGAGGUGGUAAGUUUUUUGAUAAUCAUGUGUGCCUUUGCGUAAAACGUUGUUACUAAUUAAUUGGGGAGGUGAAAUAGCAAAGGAAUUAAAGCACAUAACUGCAGUAAUCAUACUUUUUACAAUAACCCGGCAUCCGUUUACUAUGGUAUAUUACAUGCAUGCACUAAAUUAACCUAACACGCUAUGUUUUGCUUAGAGACCUCUGAAGGUGGAACCUGUCACCGUUAGUCAACCAGCUAGUCUCGGCCUUUUAUCGUCUUCCAUGCAUUUUUAAGCUUAAGGUCCACGAUGAAAUUUCAGUGCAGUGUCACAAUACCUUAGAAAAUGAUACCUCAAUUUUGUACUUGUCAACUAUGUUUUGCUUAGAAACCUCUGAAGGUGGAGCCGGUCACCGUGAAUCAACAGCUAGUCUUCAGCUUUACUGUCUUCCAAAUAUUUAAUAAAGCAUAUUAUUAUCUUCCAUCAUAUGUGGAUAGAAUCCACUCUUACUUUUCAAAGGUAGCUUAGUCAAUAAUGCGAAGUAUUUGAUACGUUCGUUAAUUAUCUUGGGCACGGGAGGAAUAGUUCCCUUAUCAACUAUGAUACCUCAAUUUUGUACUUAUCAACUAUGUUUUGCCUGGAAACCUCUGAAGGUGGAGCCUGUCACCGUGAGUCAACAACUAGUUUUCAGCUUUACUAAUGCUGAGUAUCUUCUUCCAUGUAUUAUUAAAGCAUAUUAUUAUCUUCCAUCAUAUGCGUGGAUAGAAUCCACUCUUACUUUUCAAAGGUGGCCUGGUCAAUAAUGCGAAGUAUUUGAUACGUUCGUUAAUUAUCUUGGGCACGGGAGGAAUGGUUCCCUUGGAAUGCUGCUAAAAAUCAUGGUGGCUAUAAAUAGCUAGGAGCGGUGGAUAGGAGGAGAGCAUAACCAUUUUAGUUAGUCACAUAGAUUUCCAAGAUGAAGGCCUUUCUUAUCGCAUGCAUUCUCUUAGCUACCAUCGUCUUCUCUCCCCUGUCCAGUUGCACUGCUCGAGAAUUGGCCGAGCAAGGUGAGAUUUUAUUUCCAUCAUUAACUUCAGAAAAGCAGUUCAUUUUGUGUGUAAUCUCUGUGUACGCCGGCUUUUUUCAUGCACACAACUUUUUGUAAUUAUAAAACUGAUGAGUCAACCUUUACUUUUACUUCCAGCAUUUUAAUUAACUUAAGAUAAUCAUUUCAUGUUAUAUGUUAUUUAAUUAAUCUGUCGUGGGCUAUCUUAUAAAAAAAAAUGAUUUUCAAAGGUGGUAACUCCAUUUAAAAGGUAAGAAGAAAAUUAACUAGGUCUUUUUCAAAGUCAUUGUAAGACCUAAUAUUGCUUGGGAUUUUCCAAAGGCUUUGUAGAAAAAGCCCUUAAUUCUAUUAAUUAAAAACCUUUCACCUGUAUUUUGAUACUUGUUUAAUAAUUGCCAUGAUUCAAUUCGCUGUUAUCUUAACAAGCUAACGUGUGUAUACAUGUGUGCAAAUCUUUCAGCUAUACCCAGCCCAGGUCUUAACCCAGGCAAUGUUCCAUUCAAUUGCGGUAGGGGUAAGCGAUAUUGCGUACCUAGCCAACCACCAAAACGUUGCCCUCCUUACAAGCGUAAUUGUUAGAAGCAAGCAAAGUUGAGUGCUUAGAAGUAUGGAGAGCUUCUGCUGUCUUUAUCAAUAUGUAAAAUGAUGAGAACUAUUUAUGUGAGAAAAAUAAAUAAAGUUCUCCAGUGGAUUAGAAGAAGCAAGCAAGGUUGUGUGCUUAAAAAGUAUGGACGGCUCAUAGUGUCUUUAUCAAUAUGUAAAAUGUUAUGUUGAUAUGGGAACUAUUUAUGUGAGAAAAAUAAAUGAAGUUCUUAGUGAGU
rnacentral:lncRNA from 1 species